rnacentral:lncRNA from 1 species
UUUUGUUCGAUGCUACAAACUGGAGCAUAUUAUGAUCUGUUUGUUGGAUGAUUUUAACAUAAUGUUUUAACUGAAAAUUGUUUUAUGAAGCUGUGUGUUCACUGUUGGCACAUUGAAUGAUUGACAGCAUUGGAUAAAUAAUGCUCUAUUGGAUAAAUACGUAAAGUACAUUGGACAGCUGAGAUUGUGGUGUGGACAGCUGAGAUUGUGUUUUGGACAGCUGAGAUUGUGACUUGGACAGCUGAUAUUGUGGUGUGGACAGCUGAGAUUGGUGUGGCCAGCUGAGAUUGUGGUGUUGACAUCUGAAAUUGGGAUUUGGACAGCUGAGAUUGUGACUUGGACAGCUGAGAUUGUGCUGUGGACAGCUAAAAUUGUGGUGUGGACUACUGAUAUUGUGGUGUUGACAACAUAUUGUGGUGUGAUGGUUUAAAGUAGCAAAGGUAAAGAACGUUUGACAGCUUAGAUUGUGGAGUGGACAGCUGAGAUUGUCAUGUCGGCUACUUAUAUUGUGGCUUGCAGAGCUGAUAUUGUGGUGUGAUGGUUUAAAGUACUAAAGAUUUAUUCCUUACUACCUUCCUGUCAACUAUAUCUUCCACAGCAUGAUUCAAUCUAGUCCCAAUCAUUGCCUCUGGAUACCUCACCAGUUGGUCCGUCCACAGAGUCACAAGCAACAGAUACUAAAACUCGGCAAAGUACAUGUACUUCAGUCUUCCAGAGGAUAUUGUUAACAAUGAUGAUUUGAUGUUAAAAAGAAAAUGUAUUUGAAUAGCUAUAUUUCUCUUGUGUCACUUGGGUGUCAAAGGUCAUUUUAGAGAUUGUCCGGGCUGUAACUUUGCAACGCAUAAACGGGCUUAAAUGUUUGCUCAGCUAGACAGUGUUGUGUUGAACUCCCAGUCCUUUUGACCGCUGGCGGGACCGACAUGUUUCCUGUGAGCAUUUAGUUUAUAUUGCAUAUACUUCAAGUAGAUACACAUUUUAGAAUACCGGUAGAUAACCAAAUAAGAAAGAAACAUUUUUUUAUUUUACAUAAUAGCAAAAUUUGGAAAAUUUUAACUUCAACUUUCACUGUUAUAUUAUUAUAUAAUCACUUGAGCUGCGUCAAGCUAAAAAGGUCCUUAACGUAAAUGAUGUUGUUUUGCGUAAAUGACGUCAAAGUUAUAUGAUGUCACUUGGACGUUUAAAGAUGGAGCCGCGCCUUUUUAAAUUUGAGCGAAUGCUAUGAUGCCUCAUUUCAGACGAGUACUUUGUUCUACGUUAUUUUUAACUUCUCUAAUAAUUUCAAAAGCAUUUAAUUGAACAAAAAUCCUUCAAAAUGCUUGCUUCUCCAUGUUUAUGUCACAGAACAAAUAACGAACAAUGCGUCAUAAAAUUCUACAUUCCUUAAGAUAUAGCAAUCUAUCAAUGAAAUCUGCUACAUUAAAAUCUCGUUCACCACCACAUUGUUUAAGUUACAAUUCUGAAAUUUCUAUCUUGUGUAAAGAAUUUCAUGUGCUUAUCAAGUAUGCAAAAAUGUAGAAAUGCCAUUAUAAUACUAUAAGGUCAUUUUUUGCUUGAUGCGGCUUACUUAUGAUGAGUAUGAAUGCAAUAUAGACACUGUAGAAAAUUAAUCCCGCAUUUUUGAAGAUACAAUAUCUUGUUAUCUAUUAUUGUCAAUCAUUGGUAUGUAAGAUUUUUGCCAUAGGUUUGUUUAGCUGACAAGCAUGGUAGAAAUUAUUAUUAACCAUUAACGGGCUAAAUUUCUAUAAUUAACUUGUCCAUCUUUCAAUAUUGACAGUAUCAUUAAAUGAAAGGGAUGGCUACCAAAACAUACUGACUGAAUGCAAACAGUGAAGAUCUUGAUCAGGCUAUACGGAUGUGCAGGCUGAUCAUGAUCUACACUGUUCACAAAGGCAGAAUCAAUCGUGUCCAGCAUGAUAAGGGUUAAAUCCAUUGUUUUUACUGCCUCCUUUUUUGGCUCAUUAUUGUACAAGUACAUAUACAGCAUUGGUUUUCUAACCAUGUAAUAAUGCAUAUGAUUGGUUUUCAAAAUAACGAAGCUUUUUCUCCUCUCUCACCAUACUUUAAAUAAGUUCAGUUUUAGAAAGUGUUUUGGGGCAAAUUAUAUUCAAAUCAAUGUAGUCAAUGAAUGUGUGCAGUUUCAGGUGAAUGUCUCAAGCAGUUUUAUAUCAAAUUAUAUAGUUAAUUUUGUCCCCUGUGAAUCCUAGAAAGUGUGACAUUUUAUAUGAAGGGUAGUUUUUAACUGUGAUUUAUUUUUUCAAACCAAGCAUUAUUGUAACAGCUUUAAUUUUCUAUGUAAGUCAAACUCUGCACAUUUAAAGGAAAAUACUUUUUUUCAUAAACUACAUUUUAUUCUUACCAAUGUGUCAAAUCAUGUGAUGGAACCCACUUCACAAAUAAAUAUGAAAAAAAUACUAAAUUUAAAUGUUGAUCACUUCAAUUUCAUAACCCUAUUGCUUUUCUUAUGUCCUAAUGUUUUACAAGAUAUUAAUAUUUUCAGCUAUGAAGAUACAAUUAAUAUGAUUUUUUGUUUGAUAAAUCAAUUUAGCAGAACCUUGAUGGAUGUCUAUACACGCCAAAAUGUCCCCUUUGCACCAUUUCAGUUGUUAAGUGUCAGAUAUAAAUUGAGCCGCGCCAUGAGAAAACCAACAUGGUGGCUUUACAACCAACAUAGAUCCAGACCAGCCUGCGCAUCCACACAGUC